AGGAAUGACCAAAUUCAUGUUGCCCUAAAAUAGUUACAAAACCUGACUUACCAGAAGUUUUUAGGCUCUUGCUAUUGAGGCUGAUUUGGAGAAUAUUCUUGGAACUUGUCUGUACGUGUAAAACUGUGACUUGCUGUUGAGUCACUUUACAAAAAACAUGAGUUUCAGAGCUGAUUAGGAAACACAGGAAGGCAGUCACGUCGGCAGUAGGAGCUGGAGCUAAUGACAUCAGCAUGAUCAAAACUAAGGGGAAAUUUAGUUUGAAAUGUAAAUAAAAAUGAUGGCUUAUUAAUGAAUUUGUGUUUAUAGCAGACCCAUUACUUAGACCUUUUUUAUUUGAAGAAUUGCUUUUCCUUCUAUGGAAAAAAUAACUCAGAUCAACCCUUAUGCCAUUAUUUGGUAAUUGAAAGUAACUAUGAUAAAUAAGUUGGCUUGUGUGGGGUGAACUACAACUGAGUAAGCCCAAAUAUCUGUCUAAUCCAGGGUCCUAUCUUUAGCAGUGACCAAGUACAGACGUUCAGGAAAAAAACAAAAGAACAGGGCAACCAUUCAAAGCUGCUUUUGCAGCUUCCUUCACUCCUUGUCUCAGCAAGAUGUGUGUUCUUUGUGUUUACUCAUUCUUGAUGGUUUUUGUCUUGUAACUUUGGUCACCUUUCAAAUAUGUAGGAAAUUGUAGUUCUACAAUACCCUCCAAAUGGUUAUUAUUUUUGUAAAAUGUGAGGCUACUGUUACAAACAUUCAUAUCAAACAUAAGUAAUGGAAUAUGACUGAUGAACAAAUUGGCUGUAUUUCUCAGAAAGGGUACCCUAUAGCUGUUACUAUUGACUUGUUUGUUGUGUUUUGUGGUUUUUUUUGUGUGUGUUCUUUGUUUGUUUGGGUUUUUUGUUUUUUAUUUUCUUUGUUUUUUGUUUUUGUUUUUUUAAUGACCCAUUGGUUCGGUGUAGAAUACAGUCCAUAUAGCAACUGAGAGUAUGAAUAGAAUUCUUGUUCUCUGCCUGCCAUCAUGGACAUCCUUUUCAUUCAAGGCCUCUAGUCAGUACCACAUUGGAUCCUCUUAGCUGCCAGCCUGAAAGCUCACUUUUUGUCCUGCUUUAAGAAUAUUUGCGUAACAGAUGCUGCAUUUUCUGCUGUUAGCUGAGCUAUUUCUUUCAUUGCCUAAUUUUGGUUGUAGCUGGGUCUUUGGAAUAAAACUAAUCCAAGUCUGUUGCACAAAAAUGUGAAGUUACCCACCCUGAGCUGAUCUACCAAAUGCUGGACCUGAUAUAACUCCUACUGUAUGACUGCUCAGAGGCACCAGGAGCUUCAGAACUCAGUGGAGGAUAUCCAUAUUCGGGUCACAUUUAAUUGCAUGCAGGCAUCUCAGAAUUAACGUUUUGAGAAAGUGCAAAACUAUUGUAUUAAACACCGUGCUUUGAUAGCCUGUAAAACUUCCAAACUGACUGAUGUUCCUAUUUGAGAAUGCAGUGUGGCAGGAUCAGAACAUCAGAUGGUAUUAAGCAAAUGAAAUGCUUAAUACUGACGUUAAUAUAGGUAACUGCUCUGUUUAGUUUACUGUCAGAUACUUGGAAGUUCCUUUUUAUGGUAUGAUAGCUAUGUGAGACUACACAGUAAAUACAUAACUUUCUAAUUAAUUGAUGGGCAGUCUUAAAAUGAUACAAGUUGACCUCAUGAUGAAUAAUGGCCUGGGUCGCUUGCUUAGAUUGUUUCAUCUUGCUGCUAUUAGCCUUGCACUGUAAAUUUGUCAAAACUUGAAAUUCCCACAAUAUACUGUUGAAGCAGGAAAAAUAGCAGAAUAGGAUGACACAAAAUGGGUUGCUCUGUAACGGGUUUAUUUUAAGUUUUGCUGUUGUUAUCUAAACCAGUAAAAGGUUAUAGUUAGUAUAGAGUUAAGUUGCCUUUGUUCAUCUAUUUUGGUGUGAAGAGCUGAGAAAUGGUCUUCCAGAAGCAGCAAUGAAUAGGGGAAGAAUUAAAGGGGACAUGAAAGGAGAAAGAAGAGAAACUGUGAAUUAAUCAUAACAAAAUUAAUUUGCACAGGUUUCUGCUUUUGCUUCUGGGAUUGGAGGGACUGUGUGAGUGAGGAGUGAAACCAAAUGUUCAUGUGAGACCAUUUGUUUUCUGAUGAACACUUUUGGCUCCUACUUCAAAUUUCCUGUAGUCUAGGGUAAUGUUUUCCAUUGACAGUAAUUAUAUCAGUUGUCUGAAACUGUGUAUGUGGUAGCUUAAUAAGCUGACAUCUGUUUUUCAGCUAUUCAGUGGAAGUUAAGUUUCCUCUGUCUUUUCUUACAGGUGCACACAUAGGAGUUGGCAUCAGUGGCUAGGAAGAAAUGGAAGCUGGUUUGCCCAGGGACUGUUUGCCCAGUUCAGAUCCCUCCAGAGGCUGUCACAGGUUGAUAGCAGUCUUUCUUGUUUGAGGAUGUGUGUUCACUAUAAGGAACUGGUUGUAGGAAUUCAAAAGAAAUGUAAAGGUGAGAAACAAGUUCCAGACCCUCCCACUGGUUUUCAGUCCUUGUUAAAAGAAGGAUUGAAAGUGCAAGUGCAACAUAAAGCUGACAAAGAAGUGAAGUUAUCUGAGCAAUGCAAACAAGCUCAAGCAGUAAUUAAUGUUGUGAAAAAUAUAUUUGGUUCAGAUACUGUUUUAAAGGACAGCUUAAAUCUCUUGGAGCAGAACCUCUAGAAGGAGGUAACUGCUGGAAGAGGAAAGGGUGUUGGAGGCCAGGCAAAGGACAUGUCAUGAGAAUGUAUUGAAGCAAACCUGGUAUUUGCCAAACAGUGUAAAGUGGUGGUAUUGAUAUUAGUACAGCUCUUAUUCCAGGGUGUGGUGAACACUGGUUACAAGGACUUGCCAAACAGAAUGGCUACUCAAGCCAGUAGCCUUUAUUCCAGUAACAUCUUGAAAUUAUUAAAGCUGUUUCUCCCAAGAAAGAAAGAAUAUUUUCACUUUGAACAACAGGAUGAUUUAGAUUAUGGGGCUAUUGAUCAUGUCAUUAAAGGAAUUUUGGUAAUGAAGUAAAUAUACAUAUUUCUGUGAGUGACAAGAUGACUAAAGAAGAAAAAUGUUUAAGAGAAUUAAUGGGAAUAGUGAGAAGACAUGAUGAGAACUUUGAUGUCAUCUCAGGUA